UUUAAUAUGACACUUUGUAGAGCUAAAUUGUUGCUCACCUUAAUUUCAGCAUUUCUUUGUCUAUUUGUCCUUGUUCAUUUCUAAGCCUUGGGGACUUCCUUAAAGCACCCACCGUAUCAUCGUCACCUACGCAGAGUACAUGGUACACGCGUUCUCCUUCUGCUGCUUUUCUUCAAUGAAGGAAAGGAAAAUAGAAAUGUAAGAGAGCACUUAGAAAUGCUCCCCUGAAGCGCAUUUGCGUGCCCCAAAACCUUUGUUCGCAUUUCCGUUGUUUUGUAAAGUUAAGGCCUCGCCUAGUCACUCUACCAGGCCAGACCCUAACAUUGGGCACCAUAAUUAUCUCUCUAACGCGUUUUCUAAACAAUGCAAGUCAGGCAGUUGCACUCAAAUAAAUGUUCCAGCUGUCGUUGUACAUGGUAUCUGUUUUAAUUUUUCCUUUUCUGUGUAACCACCUAAUACGAUGAACUGAAUACUUACUUUCAACGUACUUAGAAUCUCGCUUAUGUUCUAGGUACUUAGCUGAGGUUACGUAAACGUACUUGUUGUAUUUGUUGAUCCUGUAUCAUUAGAGGCCAACUACAACGAUAUUUGCGUUUGGCCAAAUUUGUUAAGCAUAAGCAGUUUAUCACAGGUAGAGGCAUUCGAUUCAGUAGAGGUAUGAGCAGUCUUGGAAGCAUUACGUCGUCAACGAGUUCUGGAAACAUGUAAAUACCUUAUUCGACACCUAUGGAGGCACCGCAGCUACCUUGCUUCUCCACAAGAAGAGCGAGAAGACAACGAUCGAAAAAGGAGUCAGACAAGGGGAUGUAAUCUCUCCACCAUUGUUCAGCGCAUGCUUAGAAUUAUCCAAACGACUAGACUGGGAGUGAAAAUUAACGGAGAAUAUUUAAUGACCGUACUGUUUGCAGAUGACGUUGUGUUCUCCUAAAAUACUGGUGACGAACUGCAACAAAUGAUUCAGAACCUCACCAGGAAAAUUGUUAAAGGAACACUAAAGAGAAAACGAGUUUUUUCAUAUUAGUAAAUUAUUCUUUCACAAUUCCAAAGUAACCACGCUUGCCGCGAGAAGACGCUUGUUAAGCGAGAAAACGCACAAUAGGGUUCUCAGAGUACAAUUUAUGAAACUAAACCGAUUCAUUGUCUCACUUUAGUGUCCCUUUAAAGUAGGCUUGAACAAAGGCGCCAGUUACGGGAAAGCAAGCGUGCACCAGCCCGCACCAGAGCUUGCCCAAAGGGUGUCGUCGCACCCCCUUUAAGAGCAAGCUUUUCGUUGCGCCGGGUAGUGCAAACAGAAACUAUCAUCAUCGUGAAUCGGUACGCCCUCUCUUCGCCUCUUUUUCCUCUCAGUCCUUUCAUCUUCUGCUUCGCUCCCAAAACACGUGCGCAGAUUUCCCCGGCGGGACCUGUAAUAACCCUGAUGAGUGAGAGGAGUGAACGAGUACAGAGAGAGACAGAGAGAAAGAAAGAUAUAAAGAAAAGAAAGAAAAGAAAGAAAGAAGAGAAAGAGACAGAGAAAGGAAUAUAAAGAAAGAGAAAAUCUUGGCGAAAAAAUUGCUCAUGCGGCGGGAUUCGAACCCGCAUACCCACGAUCCGAAUGAGAGUGUCUUAACCACUCGGCUAUCCAGGCACGCUGACAGAAGCGUAGCCUUGUAUAGUAUAGUAUCGUAUAGUAAGUGGAAGUGAGGGUGAGGAGGAGGAAAAGGGGCAGGGAAGAGAGUAAAGCAUAGUAUAUAAAGAAUGAGAAAGAGAGAAAUAGAAAGAAGGAAAUGCAGAAACAGAAAGACAGGGAAUCAAAGAAAGAGAAAGAAAUAGAGGGAGGGAGAAAAAGAUAGAGGAAGCAAGCAAGAAAUAGAGAGAGAGAGAGUGAGACAAAGAUAGAAAUAAACGGAGACAAAAAAGACACAGAGCAGAGAGAUCAGAGAAAAACAAAGAAUCAGGAAGAAAGAAAGAGAGAAAAAUAGAGAGAAACAUAGAAGGCCGCCCAGUUCCGCACUUACUUCACGCUUGGCACCCCUAUUGCGAAGCUGCCCUAAUUUUUAGAGCGCAGCUCUUAGGCACGCGUUCCUGCAUUGAGCGGCGUCGCCGUCGCCUAUUCUACCACAAAGCGACUCUGAUACUUGAAACUCAUUUUCAAAUAGACCCUAUACAGGCGUGAUGUCGGGCAAGGAAUCGCGUUAGCCUAUGUAAUGUAGCGUGGCAAGAGAGUAAAAUAACAACCAGUCAUCACACAGCGCUAAUUGCGCGACCAGUGUGUGGUUUAAUGCUUCCCACUUACUGCAAAGUGCUCAUCUAUAAUUCUUCAUCGUCAUCAGGCGCAUGCAGCAUCAAGAAAGCGCACAUAACGUCUUACAGAUGUGUAGCGAGUACCUCGCUUAUUCGCAGAAAGACGAGUAAUGGCGUAGUGGGUGGUGUCCUACUUCACAAGUCGAAACUUCAAACACAGUAGGCCUUACCCAGCACGAAGCUGCGCUCAGAAUUCGCAUUAAGCAGUAUCGCAAUCGUCAGUGAAUUUUUUUUUUUCAUCUUUCUCGAUUUUUCGGUCACGGACAACGCUGAUUUUUCGCUCACAACGACGCCGACACAGGAACUUCUGCGACACGACCUCUUCAACGCUAUCGCGUUAAUAUUGUAGGCAUAAAAUGGAAUCAGCUCGCGCAAGACAGGGUAGAUUAGAGAUAAUUGGGAGAGGCCUUCGUCCUGGAGUGCGCAUAAAAAUAGGCUGGUGGUGAGGACCAGUGAAGCAAUCUUGGCAAAGCGCAAGGCUGGUACUUGUAUGACGAAUGACCUAGAAUGCCUCCUCCGAAAUGUUUCAGCGAGCGCUGGAGAACCACGUGCGCCGCCUUAUCUCGGUCGGGUACUUGGAUGGAACGCGUGCUACUCCAGGAAUCAGUCAAUGGUUGCCCCCUUAAAGAAAGCGACAAAGUGGGAGCGGAUUGCCUGAGGUUUUCGUGAUACCUCCUCACGUAUUUCAAAUGUUGAAGGGCUGCUCAUAUAUCUACAGAAUCUUACACUAGGCUCUUUACGCUGUGCCAAAUUUCGUUGCACUUGGCCUUUAACUGCUGUCCUAGUGAUUUAAAACUCGUUUAGAUGUUGCACGUUCAGUUGUGUUGUAAAUGUACGUUGGCUGAGGCCAAUUUAUUUUCUCGUGCUUUUCCAUUUUCAUUUGUCGUUACAUGCUUUUAAGUGCGCAAUGUUGUGUUGCAUUUUGUCGUUGCGUGAUUUGAGUCUACAAUGUUAUGCUACAUUUACAAUUAUAUAUUGCGUUGACUGAGGCCAUUUUAUUGUCUUUUUUCCUAUUUUAUUUGUCGUUACAUGCUUUUAAGUGUACAGUACUCACGGAUUGAAACAGGACAAUUUAGGGAUAGGUAACGCACAUAUUUUUGUUUCCACUGUCUUCAGUUUGGUUCACAUCGGUGUAAUUUCGACUCGAACGCGCAGAUCAGAGUCAACGUUAUCUUUAGAGACCGGAUUCGUCGCUACAUGACGUGCUUAUCUCGAGCAAUUGCGCAUACAGUCGUUAUAUUAAAAAAUUUGAUGUCGCGUUUGAAUCCGUGAUUACCGUAAAAUGUUGUAUUGCAUUCUUGUCGUUGCGUGAUUUGAAUCUGCAAUGCUAUGCUACAUUUACAAUUAUAUAUUGCGUUGGCUGAGGCCAGUUUAUUCUCUUGCUCUUUUCUAUUUUUAUUUGUCGUUACAUACUUUUAAGUGUUCAAUGUUGUAUUACAUUUGCUCGUUUCUCCAGUGUAAACAAUGUCACCCGCCACGGUGGUCUAGUGGUUAUGAUGCUCGACUGCUGACCCGAAGGCCGCGGUAUGGAAUCUCGGCCGUGGCGACCGCAUUUUCGAUGGAGGCGAGAAUGCUUGAGGCCCGUGUACUUAGAUUUAGGUGCACGUUAAAAAACCCAAGGUGGUCGAAAUUUCCGGAGCCCUUCACUUCGGCGUCCCUCAUAUUCAGAUCGUGGUUUUGGGACGUUAAACCCCAGGAAUUAGUUAUUUAUUAUUGAGUGUACAAUGUUAUGCUACAUAAAUAAUAAUAUAUUGCACGUUCAUUUUCGUAAAGACUAUUCGAGCGUGCUGUAGAGUUCGAAAAAGCCGCUUAUAUUCCUAUGUACAUAUGUACAUAUUGUAAGAUGAGAAAUGUAGCAUUUUUUUCAGAAGAGAAAUAGGGACAACAGCCGUUCUCUGGAAAGGUUAUUAUAUUCUACCCUCCCUUCUCCUCUUCUGUUCCCGCAAGCCCUGAGCUCGAGCGCAUCUCCGUCUAUAUUGCACUUGGGCACAAUGCGACUUACUUUGCAUGGGGAGCUUCUGAAUGUGUUUGGCGAGCGGAAUCUGCUGUCUCGUAGUCUCAUUCACGCUGCUACUCGGUGUGGUUGCUGCAGAAGAUGUGUCUAGCUGGUGGCACUGGUUAUUACGGGAGGAUUGCAAGUGCCUCUGACAACUGUCCCGUUGCAGUUCAGAACGCACUGCAGGAUAUUCUGGACAUUGAACGAUGGCUGGCCGGACUGAAGCGCUAUGGCAGAAGAGAUAUCAUCUGGUCUCUAGUCGGGUGCGUCUACGCACCAUUAGCGCCGAUGGAUCAAAGCUCGCCGAUCCGCUCUUGCCAGCCAGUCGAAAUGCCUCGUGCAGCCGAGUCAUCGGUGUCCACUGUUUCAGCCCUCCGCACAGGAGGCAGCUGUAUCAGAUCCAAAACUUGUGUUUCCAGUAUCGUCUGAGAAAGGGGCUUAGAACGCGUGGGCAGUUCCUCGACGUCAUCUGCCCUACUGGUCGCCCGGCCCUUUCUUAAUGAGAUGUCUCUCAGUGCCCGAGUGAGAGGUAGUGGAACCGUGGUAAUGUCAAGUUCAAGGAAGACGAACUUAGCAGCCGAGCAAUCGGUAGAUUUGGGCUGCAUGGUCAUGUCUAUGACUGUCGAAAUGUGGCGUGCAGCAGAGCUGUCCUUACUCUGGGAGAUGAGGUCAGCAACCACUCCAUCGACAGGAGUCUUGGGUUGUUCUGGCAGGUCUAGGACAUCAGUCGUGCUGGUCGCAUUAGAUUCCUUGAUCUCGCUCGGCGCAUGAUGAUUGUCUGUACAUUUGGCCAAUGAAUCCGCUCGAAUAUGUGGAUGUGGUUUCCAUAGACUGGUCCGGUUCCUGUAUUGGUAGUUUGUGAAGCACGAGAGGAACCGGUACCCCCAUGUGCUGAAGCGGUAGCGAACUCGAAGGCCCCAUCACCGACUUCUGUAGCUGGCAAGUGGUCUCGAGCUCUGGUAAUACUGGUCUCGUGUCGCAUACCGACGGAAAGUCCGACAACCGAAGUGGUAAAGACAUGCCGAGUCGGGUGUUAUCGCCAGCACAGUCUGCAUAACUGCAUCCUCGAGGUGGUGCCCAUGCUGAGCCCCGUCCUCGGUGGAGGUAUUGUUGAACUCUCUGGUGGCAUGGUGAGUACGACAUAAAACAGCUACCAGUGCUGCACUCACUUCAGGCCACGACCCGAUGCCUUCGCAGUGUUGCCAUGCUUUGGAGGCACCGCGAAGGCGGUUUAUUGCAACGGGCUAGUGUUUGUGGUCAGGCCAGACGUGGCGAGCGCGCGCAUUGGGUGUCUUCACCGACAGGACUGCGUCGUCCUGGAAAGCGCAAAACUCCGAUAGUUCCCACGUAGCCGGCUAUGGUAAAGCUGCAAGCCGGAAUUGGGAAGUUACCAUGGCGGUAAUGGUCUAGUUGCUUGGAGAGCAGCUCUGCGGCACGCAUCGCGUCCAUGGUGUUGACUAUCGAGGCGCCCGAGGCGCCAGGUACGACGUUCGCGGUGACGCCAGUACUCACGGUGGCAGUAUCCAUGACCAAGGGAGCGUGGACCGCAUCCCUUGGCGGUUUAGACGCCGAAAGAAUUCGGAGCACGGGAUCCAUGCCAUGGAAACCAUGGAUGGUGUUCCCUGUCGACCGCGCCAUUGUAAGAAUAGAAAUAGGGAGAGUGCAUGUCCUAUGAACCUCUUCUAUACUGCACUCGGUUCGCCUCUUCUUCGGGUCCCCGCGAGCCAUGAGCCCUAGAGCCGCUCCGUCUUUCUUACAAUAUUUCUUCUCAUUAUAGUUCCAAUACUUUGUUUUGCUAUUUGCUCCUUCGAAAAGCACCGCUGUAAUUUUCAGUGGCUGAGAAAGAUGCCCGAAGCGAUUCUAUAGUUACUCUUGGUAUGCGUGGUGCCUUCGCGGAAGAAACGAGGAAAUCUCGUAGCCUGCAUUUUCUUUUGUAUUUUUCUAUUCUUUUAUACAAUAUUUAAAGGACCUUGCUUCUAUGAGUUCUUGAGGUAACUCGUGGACAGGAGCUCAAAAAGAAAUUGGAUAUAAUUUAAAAAAUCCCCCGUGGCCAUGUACGAAAGCAAAACAAAAAGCAUUUAUUGCUUUUCAUUAUUGCACUUCUCGUAUCUGAAUGCUCAAUUCGUGGACCUCAGUGUAAGUGUCCUCUUACCCAGCGCACACGUUCCCUUUCUUUGAACUCGUGUGUGUGCUGUCCGCCGCGGUGGUGUAGCGGUUACGGUGCUCGGCUGCUGACCCAAAGGUUGCGGGUUCGAUCCCGGCCGCGGCGGUCGCAUUUCGAUGGAGGCGAAAUGCUGGAGGCCAGUGUACUGUGCGAUGUCAGUGCACGUUGAAGAACACCAGAUGGUCAAAAUUUCUGGAGCCCUCCACUACGGCGUGCCUCAUAAUCAUGUCGUGGUUUUGGCACGUCAUACCCCAAAUAUUGUUAUUUUGUGUGUGUGCUUGCUUUUGGCAGUUGUCUUUAUUUCAGUGAACUAGCUGUACUUGCAUAUAUAUGUGUUGCGCCUGUAUAAGCGGCGUCGCGUGUCAAUGUCGUCGCAUUACUGUUAAUUUUGUGACAGAACGAACUCAAGUAUUUAUAAAGGUCUCCAUGAGUUGUGUACAUAUGUAAAUACAUUGAAGACUGACACUUGACGCUGUGAUUGACAAUGGGUGACUCGCCGUAGUGUCUUAGCGGCUAACGUGUUGCGCUACUAAGCUCGAGGGUGCAGGUUCGAUUUCCAGAAACUGAGGCCGCAUUUCGAUGGGGCCGAAAUGCAAGAACGCCCAUGUACGUAUGUUUAAAUGUGCGUCAAAGAAGCCUCAGAGUCCCCUACUACUGCGUAUGUUAUAAUUAUAUCGUAAUUUUGGCACGCAAAAGCAGUGAAUGGAAUUUUUAAUUGGCGAUUGGCGUCUAUAAAUGAUCGAUAUUAUCUAGUGUGGCUCCUCCGCAGUGCUUGCAUUUUCCCGCAACUGCUGUGCGCAUGAAUGUGUACGUUUGUGUCAUUUUUGCGGACUCCGCAAAAUGAUACAGACGACAAAUGAUCGGUGCGCUUAAGAUUGGGGCCCAAUCUUAAGCGUCCCGAUAAUUUCACGUGAAUCCAAUAAACAAUGAAUGUGUAAAUUUCUAUGGAAAAUAAAUGUGCACCUCCACGAGCGCUUGUUGGC